rnacentral:rRNA from 1 species
ACGGGGGGGGCAAGCGUUGUUCGGAAUUACUGGGCGUAAAGGGCUCGUAGGUGGCCAACUAAGUCAAUCGUGAAGUCCCUCGGCUUAACCGGGGAACUGCGCUUGAUACUGGAUGGCUUGAGUUUGGGAGAGGGAUGCGGAAUUCCAGGUGUAGCGGUGAAAUGCGUAGAUAUCUGGAGGAACACCGGUGGCGAAGGCGGCAUCCUGGACCAAUACUGACGCUGAGGAGCGAAAGCAUGGGUAGCGAACAGGA